rnacentral:rRNA from 1 species
GCAAGUCGAGCGGUAACAUUUCUAGCUUGCUAGAAGAUGACGAGCGGCGGACGGGUGAGUAAUGCUUGGGAAUAUGCCUUAUGGUGGGGGACAACAGUUGGAAACGACUGCUAAUACCGCAUAAUGUCUACGGACCAAAGGGGGGGAUCUUCGGGCCUCACGCCAAAAGAUUAGCCCAAGUGAGAUUAGCUAGUUGGUGAGGUAAUGGCUCACCAAGGCGACGAUCUCUAGCUGGUUUGAGAGGAUGAUC